rnacentral:rRNA from 1 species
UACAGAGGGGGCUAGCGUUGUUCGGAAUUACUGGGCGUAAAGCGUGCGCAGGCGGUUUUGUAAGACAGAGGUGAAAUCCCCGGGCUCAACCUGGGAACUGCCUUUGUGACUGCAAGGCUUGAGUGCGGCAGAGGGGGAUGGAAUUCCGCGUGUAGCAGUGAAAUGCGUAGAUAUGCGGAGGAACACCGAUGGCGAAGGGCAAUCCCCUGGGCCUGCACUGACGCUCAUGCACGAAAGCGUGGGGAGCAAACAGG